AGCGAACGCUGGCGGCAGGCUUAACACAUGCAAGUCGAGCGGGCGUAGCAAUACGUCAGCGGCAGACGGGUGAGUAACGCGUGGGAACGUACCUUUUGGUUCGGAACAACCCAGGGAAACUUGGGCUAAUACCGGAUAAGCCCUUACGGGGAAAGAUUUAUCGCCGAAAGAUCGGCCCGCGUCUGAUUAGCUAGUUGGUGAGGUAACGGCUCACCAAGGCGACGAUCAGUAGCUGGUCUGAGAGGAUGAUCAGCCACAUUGGGACUGAGACACGGCCCAAACUCCUACGGGAGGCAGCAGUGGGGAAUAUUGGACAAUGGGCGCAAGCCUGAUCCAGCCAUGCCGCGUGAGUGAUGAAGGCCCUAGGGUUGUAAAGCUCUUUUGUGCGGGAAGAUAAUGACGGUACCGCAAGAAUAAGCCCCGGCUAACUUCGUGCCAGCAGCCGCGGUAAU
rnacentral:rRNA from 1 species